rfam:Triticum urartu cultivar G1812 contig746276, whole genome shotgun sequence.
UUAUUACUUCCUCCGUCCUAAAUUACUUGUCGUAGAAAUGAAUAAAAAUGGAUGUAUCUAGAUCUAAAAAUACUUUUAGAUAGAUCUGUUUCCACAACAAGUAAUUUCGGACGAAGAGAAUAUAUU